GAUGAACGCUGGCGGCGUGCCUAACACAUGCAAGUCGAACGGGCUUAUAUUGAAACCUAGUGAUUUAUAAGUUAGUGGCGGACGGGUGAGUAACGCGUGGAUAACCUGCCGUAUACAGGGGGAUAACACUUAGAAAUAGGUGCUAAUACCGCAUAAGCGCACAGCUUCGCAUGGAGCAGUGUGAAAAACUCCGGUGGUAUACGAUGGAUCCGCGUCUGAUUAGCCAGUUGGCGGGGUAAAGGCCCACCAAAGCGACGAUCAGUAGCCGGCCUGAGAGGGUGGACGGCCACAUUGGGACUGAGACACGGCCCAG
rnacentral:rRNA from 1 species